AGUGAACGCUGGCGGUAGGCCUAACACAUGCAAGUCGAACGGCAGCACAGUAAGAGCUUGCUCUUACGGGUGGCGAGUGGCGGACGGGUGAGGAAUACAUCGGAAUCUACUUUUUCGUGGGGGAUAACGUAGGGAAACUUACGCUAAUACCGCAUACGACCUACGGGUGAAAGCAGGGGAUCUUCGGACCUUGCGCGAUUGAAUGAGCCGAUGUCGGAUUAGCUAGUUGGCGGGGUAAAGGCCCACCAAGGCGACGAUCCGUAGCUGGUCUGAGAGGAUGAUCAGCCACACUGGAACUGAGACACGGUCCAGACUCCUACGGGAGGCAGCAGUGGGGAAUAUUGGACAAUGGGCGCAAGCCUGAUCCAGCCGUACCGCGUGGGUGAAGAAGGCCUUCGGGUUGUAAAGCCCUGUUGUUGGGAAAGAAAAGCAGCAGGUUAAUACCCCGCUGUUCUGACGGUACCCAAAGAAUAAGCACCGGCUAACUUCGUG
rnacentral:rRNA from 1 species